ACUAUAAACUAUAGUUCUCACGCCCUCUGUUUGGUGUUUUCUUUCAGAGCCUUCCACGCCGGGAGAGGCUAGGGACCGCGGGAAGGGAGUUGCUUCGAGCUAGCUUCCUUCGAGGACGAUUCGCUAGGUGGUCUACCUCUCGUUGUACUUUAUUUUGGAGAGGUUGAGAGUUUUACCAGUGUACUAGAGACCACCACUUUUGUACUAGAGGCUGAUACUGCAUAACUUAUGUUUACUUUUAUGUUUUAGUUAUGUUCUAUUACUAUUAGUAUAGAUGUUAGAACUUUACUCGCUCUGAUAUCAUUAGCUGCUUGUUAUUUCACUUCUCUUAUUUGUUCCAUCUAUUGCUUUUACUUCCGCUUUUCUUGUAGACGCCUUAUAUGUAUAGACAUAUGGCGGGUCUGGGCACGCUAUCGGGAGGGCCUCCGUCGGUCCCGGGGCGUGACAUGGGCGGAGCACGGUAGCACCCAUGUACGUGAAGAAAGAGAGGCUAUCGCCGAGUCAAAGGACAAAGGCAAAAAGCGAACGGCAGGCAGUGCCGGGGGCCGGCCAAACUCAAAGAAACUCCCUCGGUAUCCCCGACAACAGUCGAGGAACUAGAGACCAGCUCGAUGUGUUAUUUGUGGCGGAGAGCACCGAGUGUUGACUUGCCCGCAGCGCGACGACAAGUGUUUUAAGUGUGGCCAACCGGGACAUCUUAUCUAAGAGUGCACGCGCUGGACGUCGUCUGUGCCGACAGCGGCAUCAGCACCAUCUAUCCCGAGACAGCUUGCGGGGUUACCACCAGCGAUGUCGGCUGGGCGCGCGUCAUCACCUCGUCAGCCGAAGGGAUCGAGAGCACCUAGCGGACGGAUUUUUGCCGCUCAGGUGGAGGAGCAGCAGCCUGUAGCACCCGACGACGUCGUGGCAGGUAUAAUUGUAAUUAAAGGCACUAGAGCUAGAGCAGUGUUUGAUAUAGGCGCAUCUAAUUCAUUUAUUAUCGCAUCAUUUGCUCGAACUCAUGACUUAGAGAUGACGUAUAAUGAGGACUACUGGUGGGUGAACGCCCCAGAACAUUCGUUAAGUGUCCACAAUGAAUGUUUGGCGUGUCCAGUGCAAAUAGGCGAUUGGAUUAUGCCGAUAGAUCUGCUAGUGCUAGAUCAGAUGUGGGGAUUCGAUGUUAUCUUGGGGACCAACUGGCUCUCCAAAUACUAUGCGGUUAUAGAUUGUGAAUACAAGAUAAUCACUUUUCGUGAACCUAAUCAAGAAGAGUUGGUGUACCAAGCGUGCAAAAGUAGGCGCUUCGCGGCGACCAUAUCGUCUGUAAGGGCGAAGAAGAUGAUCAAAGGAGGGUGUAAAGCCUAUUUGGCAACCAUGGUAGAUGCUCGAACGGAGUACCCAGAGUUGGAGGAUAUUCGAGUAGUGUGCGAGUACCCGGAUGUAUUUCCGACGGAGUUACCGGGAUUGCCACCGGAUCGGGAGGUCGAGUUCAUUAUUGACUUGAUUACUUGGGCGGAACCAGUUUCCAAGGCUCCGUAUAGAAUGGCACCGGUGGAGCUAAAGGAGUUGAAAGGCCAAUUACAAGACUUGCUCGAUAAAGGCUUCGUGAGGCCGAGUGUGUCACCGUAGGGAGCUCCAGUGCUAUUUGUGAAGAAGAAGGAUGGCACACUUCGACUCUGCGUAGACUAUCGCGAGUUGAAUAAAGUGACGAUAAAGAACAAGUACCCGUUGCCAAGAAUUGACGAUAUAUUCGAUCAGUUGCAAGGGUCAAAGGUGUAUUCGAAGAUCGAUUUCCAAUCGGGGUAUCAUCAAUUAAAGAUUAGACCGAAGGAUGUACAAAAAACGGCAUACCGUACGCGGUAUGGCCAUUAUGAGUUCACGGUAAUGCUGUUUGAGCUUACUAAUGCCCCGGCAACAUUUAUAGACUUGAUGAAUCGAGUCUUCAGGCCGUUGUUGGACCGGUGCGCCGUGGUGUUUAUAGACGACGUAUUGGUUUACUCAAAGAGUGAAAAGGAGCACGAAGAGCAUUUGAGAGCUGUGUUGCAAAUACUCAGCCAGGAAAAGCUCUAUGCAAAGUUAAAGAAGUGUGACUUUUGGCUGAAAGAGGUCACAUUCUUAGGUCAUGUGGUAUCGGGCGACGGAGUGUCGGUCGACCCGAAGAAAGUAGAGGCGAUAAAGGAUUGGCCUCGCCCGACGAACGUAGUAGAGGUCCGCAGUUCUCUUGGACUUGUGGGCUACUACCGGCGGUUCGUGGAGGGGUUCGCCAAAAUAACCACCCCACUAACGCGCCUCACGCAUAAAGGAGUAAAGUAUGUUUGGAGCGACGAUUGCGAUUGGAGCUACGAAGAGUUAAAGAACAGGUUGACGUCAACCCCGGUGCUUGCCUUGCCGACUCUGGGGGAGACCUUUGUAGUGUAUAGAGUGAUGCCUCUUAUGUUGGUCUCGGGUGUGUGCUAAUGCAAAAUGGGCGAGUCAUUGCGUAUGCAUCGCGCCAAUUAAAGAGUUAUGAGAAAAACUAUCCGAUUCACGACCUCGAGUUAGCCGCGGUGAUCUUCGCGCUAAAGCUAUGGAGGCAUUACUUGUAUGGUGAGCAUUGCGAGAUCUAUACAGAUCACAAAAGUCUCAAGUACUUGUUCACCCAGAAAGAGUUGAACAUGCGGCAGCGGCGGUGGUUGGAGUUGUUAAAAGACUAUGAUGUCACUAUACUAUACCACCCCGAAAAAGCCAAUGUCGUGGCUGAUGCUUUAAGUAGAAAAUCGGCGGAGAAUUUAGCGGCGACAAUUACGCCUCAACCGCUAUUGCAAAAGAAAAUGCAACGACUUGUGUUGGAAGUGGUAGCGCCGGGAGUGCCAGCUAUUCUUGCCGCAUUGAUCGUGCAACCGACACUGUUUGAGAGGAUUAAAGAGCUUCAAGCUUUGGACCCUUAUCUUCAGAAGGUACGAAGUGAGGUUGAAAGUGGCAAUGCCGAAGACUUUGGUUUUGGAGCCGAGGGCGCAUUUCGAUUCCGAAAUCGUUGGUGCGUGCCUAAAGAUGAUGAGUUGCGAAGGGCGAUUAUGCAAGAAGCACACCAAUCCCCUUAUAGCAUACACCCGGGCGGCACUAAAAUGUAUCAAGACUUAAAAGUGCAUUAUUGGUGGCCGGGUAUGAAAAGAGAUAUUGGGGAGUUCGUGGCGCAAUGUCUAACGUGCCAACAAGUGAAAGCAGAGCGCCGGUUUUCGGCGGGAAAGCUACAAAGUCUCUCAAUACUCGUUUGGAAAUGGAAAAAAUAUAGCGAUGGACUUUGUUACCGGUUUGCCUCGAUCACAAGGCGGACACGAUGCGAUAUGGGUGAUAGUGGAUCGAUUGACAAAAUCGGCACACUUUUUACCGAUUCAUACUACGCGGAAGACAAGCUAGCUCAAAUGUACCUUGACGAGGCUGUGAGACUUCAUGGGGUUCCGGUAUCAAUUGUAUCGGAUCGAGACCCCAGAUUCACUUCCCACUUUUGGAAGAGCUUACAAGACGCGCUAGGCACACGGCUCGACUUUAGCACAGCGUUUCAUCCUUAGACUAAUGGACAGUCGGAGCAGAUGGUACAAAUCCUUGAGGACUUGCUUCGAGCGUGUGUACUAGAUUACAAAGGAGGUUGGCAAGAUUUCUUGCCAAUGGCGGAGUCCGCCUAUAAUAACAGUUAUCAAGAGAGUAUAGCGAUGGCGCCAUUUGAGGCACUAUAUGGUCGAAAGUGUCAUUCUCCUAUUCAUUGGAGCGACGUGGGCGAGAGAACGGCUCUUGGCCCGGAUGUAGUGCGGGAGGCAGAAGUGAAAGUUUGCCUUGCCCGUCAAUAGUUAGCGGCAGUGCAAUCUCGACAAAAGAGUUAUGCCGACAAGUGAAGAAAUGGCUUAGAGUUCGCGGUUGGAGACCGCGUAUUUUUGAGAGUGUCGCCAAUGCGUAGAGUAAAGCGAUUUGGGGUCUGUGGGAAGCUAAGCCCCCGAUACGUCGAACCAUUUGAGAUAUUAGAGCGUGUGGGUGCGGUAGCGUACAAGCUCGCACUACCACCGAGACUCGCGGGAGUUCACAAUAUUUUUCAUGUGUCAAAUCUCCGAAAGUAUAUUCGCAACUCGACACAUGUAUUGGAGUACGAGCCCGUGGAGCUACGUAAGGAUAUGUCUUAUGAGGAGUACACGGUGUGCAUCCUCGAUCAAGAAGAAAGGAAGUUGCGGAGUCGCAAAAUUCCCUAUGUGAAAGUCCAAUGGAGCAACCAUGCGGUGCGAGAAGCCACUUGGGAGCUCGAGGAGACCAUGCGGAGAGAGUAUCCGCAUCUAUUCGAGUCGACGAGUUAAGGUAUGCGUAAUUUCGAGGACGAAAUUAUUUUAAGAGGUGGAGAAUGUAAUAUACCGAAAAUUCAAAAAAUAAAUAUCGAACUUUAGUCAAAUUGACCAAAGUGCGAGGAAAGUACACUUCGGAAAGUCCGAAGGUGUUAAAAUGAUCAAAAGUGCAUUGCGGGAGGUUUUCGACAGCUAAAGAAUGAAAAAUCUGCAUUCUGCAGGUUUUGUGCUCUCGGGGACCGGUCCCUGGUGGGAAAGACCGGUCCCCGAACACGUGAAAAUUGAGAAAGCUGAAAAAUCAGCUAAGUCCCAGAAAACCAACUCUCGGGAACCGGUCCCUGCGGGUAGCGACCGGUCCCCGAGAGACCGGUCCCUCUGGAAGAGACCGGUUGCAUCGCGCGAGAGCCCUGGCUGCCCGCGGGGAGACCGGUCCCUUGUCGGGGAGACCGGUCCCCAAACACGAAUUCUGCCUAGUUUGGGCAGUUUAAUAAAAUGAAAGCUGAGGGGUCUAAAUGCAAAGUUGCAUUAUACGGGUUGUGUUGAGGGGUUGUGAGGGCUUAUUUCUCAUUCCCUCUCCCUCUCACACUCUUUUCUCUCUUUCUCUCUCUAGACAAAGGGAGGAGAAGACAAAGAAGAGGAAGAAAAAGACAAGGAUAGAAAGGGAAAGGAAGAAGAAGGAGAAGGAGAAGAAUGUGAAGAGAAAGCUAAAGAGUAGAGCUACUUCCUCUUCUUCCUCUUUGGAGCAACGUAGGAGCAAGCUUAGAGGUAAGCUUGAACCCUAUUCAUGGUAGAAUUCAAACUAGGGUUUGAAUUAAGCUAAGAAUGGUUUUUAUAGAACCUUUAGAGUAUUUGAAGCUUUCUUUUUGCUUCCUUUAAGAGAUCAAAACCAUGCAUUUGGGUAUAGGUGGUGAAGCUUAUAGGAAAGCUUCAACCCCUCUCAUGGUGAAACCCUAAAAUGGAUUUUGAUUGAGCUAAGGAUGGUUCAAAUGGAACCUUUAGAUGAUUUGAAGCUUACUUUUGCUUCUCUAAGAGAUCAAACCCUAGGUUUUGAUAUGCUAUGAGCUAGGGCACCCAAAUUUGGGGCUUUUGCUUGUAAAUGUUCUAAAAUAAAAUUGACCAUCUAGAAACCUAAGUGGGGGUAUUUCCGAUGCGUUGGUGCGCUCGGAUUGAUGUUACGAAAAGCCAAUGUAAAGAUAUGAGCAAAAUGGCCUAAUAGGGCUUCGUUUUGCCGUAGGUGACGAACUAGGGGUCUAAAAAUUUCGAGAAAAUCGUUGUAGCAUCCUAGUACGCCUACGAGGUGGGUGGUGCUAUCCAAACUUGUUGGAAUUCCUUUUAUGCCUAAUGCGUCAUUCAAUUGAGCAUAUAUGUAUAUUGUUGCAUGCAUUAUAGGGUAGAUGUGAUGAUAUAUAAGUGAGUGUUGCAUGAUGUGAGUACACGUGCUAAUCGAAAUGUUUGAGAACCUAUUCAACCCUAUAUGUAUGCAUGAGAUGAUGUGAGCGUCCAAUGAGAUGAAAGAACAAAGUGACACAAUAGAACACUAGAGUUAGUGUGUGGCAUCAAAGAGAAAUGUGACGCAAAGAACGAUGAAAAUGAGUAGAGACAACUAAAGAAAAUGAAAGCGGCAUAAAGAACGAGUAAAGUUAAAGAACAAUGAUUGCUAGAGUUAGCAAAAUAAAGUGAUGUAAAGAACACUAGAGUUAGUGUAAAGACAAUGAUUGAACUAUAUCCUUAAAGUUAAGGAUCGAUCAUACUUGCAAUGAGUUCCGUGCUCGAGGGCGGUCGCUCCCCCUCGAGCGAUGCGCUCCGGAGUUUUGCAUCACGGGUUGGAGUCAACCCGAGGGCGGUCUUAGCGGGAGGCAGCUGAGGGCCCGCGAUGAUGGACUUAAUGUGGGCAAGUUAACGUGGCGAAACCCCCGGGUUAGCCGUGUGAUUAAAGAAUAAAGAACCAAGAUUAAAGAACAAAGAGUAAAGAACAAAGAACUUGCAUACUUGCAUGAUUUACGUUCAGCAUAUUUCUUGCUUAUUGUUCAGGCAUAUUAGCAUCAUGAUCAUAGUUUGGUUACUAUUCUGCUUAUCCUUUCUAUUAUGCCUGAGUUAGUCCUAGUGGAAAAGUCGGUGAGAUUGGGGCCGAACCCACUGGGAAUUUCGUUGUAGUUCUCACCCCACUAUUUCCACGGAAUUGGGACCGAGCGAGCUGGCGAGCGACCGCGUUAAAGGUAUCGCGCCAUAGACAGUGACUACCAAGUCGAGUUUACAUUUUGUAGUAGCAUUCCCUUAUUUCAUCAUUUGUAUUUGAUGAAUUGAGAUGUAAAAGAAAAAGAAUGUAAUGUUUAUUUUGAGCAAAUGUGAUGUAAAAGAAAUGAUGCAAGCAAUGUAAAGAAUUAUGAAUAUGAAGGUUAAAUGUAAUGUAUAUGAUCAAAAGUGAAUCAUAGUACUUAUAGUUGUUUAGUUUCCUAUCUUUCACUUAUGGCUAUUGGCUUUCUUCGUGUAAGCCGUUUGUGUAUGUUUCCGCUAGUGUUUUUCUCUACUUGAAAAUGUACAUGUGAUGAGCCUUGGGCGGACGGGGGAACUCCGUCCGUUCGGCGUCUGUUUGACGUGCUCGGGCCGGCCCAAAUUAGUAUCGGCUACGGGGCGUGACACCGCUGGUGCAAACUACGGCCAAUCGGGGUCAGCUCGGGCCGAGCUCGAUUAAACUCGAGGCCCGCGUGCAGUAGCUGCUCGCAUCGGCCACCUCGUCUUCCUCUGGCCGUCGGCGACCUCCCGCGCGCAUCCCUGCUGUCCCCGCGUGCCGCCGGCCGCCGCUCAUGCUCUCUACUUCGGCUCAGAUCUGGUGUGGGCCGAGCUUGGGGCCACAUUGUCUCCGAGCGUAGCCACCACCCGCUGUCGAGGGCGCCGCCAUCCCUCAGCCUCCGGCGACUGACCACCGUCGCCCGGUGCUCCUCCGGCUGCCGCCUGGCCGCCACGGACUCCGUGAACCCGAGAACAAUCUCUCGGUUUUGAUCGCUGCCGCCGUGCCACCGACUGUCGCCCGCCGCCGGCCAGCACAUGCCCCGGACCCCACUAACCGGCUGUAAAGAAGUGAAUUCUUGAAAUCGGAGAGUUAGACUUCGUUCAGAAUCGACUAAUUGUCGAGUGAAUGUGCUUCGGAGAAGCCGAAGUAGUUAAAAAUGCGAAAAGUGCAUUGCAACGGACCUCGGAGAGCAAGAUUGUGAAAAUCUGCUAAGUUGCAGGUUUUUGCUCUUGGAGACCGGUCCCUGGUGUGAGGGACCGGUUCUCGUAAGCUUGGUUGCGGCAGAAAAAUCUCUGCGCGCGAUAUUUGCUCUCGGGGACCGGUCUCUGGUGGAUGGACCGGUCCCCGUGUGCGCGAAAAUUGGCAGACAGCUUCUGCCCGCGAGAGGUGCUCUCGGGGACCGGUCCCUCUAGGGACAGACCGAUCCCCGAGCACGAAAAAUGCCCUGUCUGGGCAGGUCAAGAGGAGUAAAGUGGAGGGGCUAAACUACAAUUAUGACUUGAGUUGGGGAUAUAGAAGAGAAAGUACUCUCUCUUUCUCUCAUUUCACACCCAACUCUAGCUCUCUCUCUCUCUCUCUCUAAACUUUCCUUUCUCUCUCUUUAGAAGGUGUAGAAGGAGGAGGAUCCUUGGCAUCUUCUUCUUCCUCUCCAUCAUUGGAGCUUGCUAUUGAGGUAAGCUUUGAGAGCUUUCAUGGUAGAUCCCUCUAGAUGGAUUUUUAUCCUUUAGAAAUGGUUUUGUUGGAACCCUAGCUUCUCUAAUAGAUGGAUUAUGCAUGAAUCUAGAGCUCCAACGAGAGAUUCUUGCAUUGGUUAAACCUAGGGCUCCAAAAUUAGGGUUUUUGAAAAUGAGGGGUUUUGAUCUAAAUUGAUCAUGUAUUAACCUAAUUGCUAAGUGUCUAAACGCGUGGGAAACGACGGAUUGAGCAUUCGUUUAGCGGGUGCGAAGGUAUAGCCGAAACAAGUGUUUGAGGCUUCGUGUUGACUCGAAGAGUUGAAGCGGCGACCAAGGAUCGCGAAGUAGAGUUUCUAGCCUCACUACGUUGCCUAAAGGUGGGGGGUGUCAUCCCGAAGCAACUAAGCUCCUCCCUAUGUCUAAGUACUUAUAUGUUGAUCAUAUUCCAUAUGUGUAUAUCAUGCAUAUUAGGGUGUUUAGAUGUUGCAUUUACUAUUCUUGCAUACUCCUUAUAGUGUGGCAUAGUAGGCUUGACACGUGAACAUAGGGUGCAUGAGAAUGAGCUAUUGUGACAUAGAACCCUAUAGAGAUAAGUUAAAUGAUAACUUGAUCUUGUAUUGAUGAAAUAUAACUAGAAUAGUCGAGAUCUUACAUCAUGAUGAGUGGCAUGUGAACGAAGUAAACAACUUGAUGAGUGGCAUUAGAAUUUAGUGUUAAAAGAACACUUGUGGCAUGAUGAUCCUAGUGACAGGGUAUCCUCAUUAGACGAGGAUUUGAUUAUACUCACAUUGUCUGUUCAGCGCAUGUAGCGGUCGCUCCGCACAGGUAGUGCGCUCCAGAGUUUGGCACGUGAAUCGAUUGGGAUAGCCUAUGUGGAGUCCUGCAAACAGUCUCUCGGGUGGUUCGAGUCCCCCUUCAUAGACGGAUUUGAGAUGUGAGUUGAAGGCGCGCCUAUAGGCCAGCCAGAUGAUUGGAUAAUAAACUUAAGAGAGUUAUGCAAAUUGGGCAUAUUGUGCAUAUUGAGCAUAGUAGAGUUGUAUCCAUACUCGAUGUUGGUAUUAUAGCAUGUUAGCGAAUGCAUGGCCAUCUUGUUCAUUCUUGAAUCUCAAGGCAUAAUAGUAUAAUACAAUUCUUUCGGUAUGCAUCGUUUACGGCUUUAGAUAUCUAUCUAUCUAUCUAUCUAUUUAUCUACUUAUGCCUGCUUAGACGUAGCGGGGAGAUCGACGGAGGCGGCGGCCGAACCCACUGGAAACUAUAUUUAUAUAGUUCUCACCCCACUUUGUUGCAGGUCCCAGCGAGAGAGCACCGACAGAGGACCGUGGUAAGGGCAUAGCGCCGUAGUCAGAUAGUAGCUUUCCAUUUUGCAUUAGAGUACCCUCGAGAACCUAGAGAUGUGAUGUAUUUUGGGAGUUACUUAUGUAUUUGGAGAUCGGAACAUGUGUAUAUUCAUUUUGAGGGUUGCAGAAUGUAAACUUGAUGUAAAAGAAUGGUUGAAUGAAUGUAAUAGAUAGACAUGUCUCUCUUUAUUUACUUGUAUGAUAUACUUGUAUCUUGCUCUUACUUGUUGGCACUGGUGGUGCUCUUUGUGAUCAUGUAUGUAUUGAAUAUAAAUUUCUAGGCAAAUUCUUGUACAUGAUCUAGUUGUUUAGCCUUGGGAGGACAGGGGAGGUGUUGUCCGUUCGGCGUCUAUUCGACGCGCCCGAACCGGACCAAAUUGGUAGUGGUCUCGCGGCGUGACACCGGCUGCACCCGUCCCCUGUCGGUGCGCCCCCCCGUCCAGUCGCCGGCGACCUGCCCGUGCUACCACUGGUCCGGUAAACCUAAUUUUAGGUUAUCUGCACAUCAUUUUGGGGUAUCGAUCACCUUUCCGGUGAUCCGAGGGCACCCCGACAUGUUUGGAAGUGAGCACGAUGAUCCUUACUUCGUGCUGAACAUCGUGUUCACCUCCGUUGGGGUCAGUGAUGCCCCGGUUUGCGAGUUAGACGUGAUUUAGGCGUUGUGUGCGCUGUUUCACUGAAGUUUGCGUCGCUCACGCGCCCAUCACAGUGGCCGGCAGUGCUCCGAAAGGUGAGUACGGCCCCUGGCAUGCCGAGACCUGUCAGAGGGUGUCUCUGCUUGGCUGAAUGACCCUCGGUUUGAGCUGUCGGGCCAUAAAACCCCUGAAAUCACAUGAAAUAAUGUGAUUUUAUGUUGUUGCGGGGGUUUUUAUGUAAUUAUACAUUAUGUGGCUACUGUUGGCAGCAUUUUCGGGCAGAGGGUAACCUCUGGACUGGUUGUCCAAGGCCCCAAGCCUUUCCGAAAAUCAAAUAUUGAUUUCCGAUGCGUUUGUCGGCGAAAUCCGCUGACGAAACGCAUUUUCGGUUCGAAAUUCUUCUGACGGUGCCUCGUGAUGAAUUGUGUCGUCGCUGAGCCUUGUUGACUGGUCACCCGCGUCAUUUCGAGGGUUCAGAAACGACGGGUGAGCGACGGUGGGUUCCGGUGUCGAAUUGGACACUUCCAGAAACCUGGAUCGGAACGAUUAUCCGACGAUAAUCGUUUCGGAGUGAGUUAGUGUCUUUGCUGCAAAGUCACACGAAAAUAUGUGUUUAGUGGCAGCGGGCAACUCGUAACAUGAGUCGGUGAGUUCUGGGAUAGUUCAUGGGUCCCGGCGGAGUGCCGGUGCGGUUUUCGGGACUUCCGGCUUGUUCGGCAAUCGAUUUUGGGAAACCGAUUCUCGCAGGUUCGUUGGUGGGGAGUGUGAGUUAGUGAUACAUGUUAGUGGGUUGGAUUCUAACCCGGUGGACCCUUCGUAGGUCUGGUUGUUCCGUCUCCGCAAUCGAGAAACCAGUUCCAUAUUUGUACAUGUGGGUACUUCGACGCGAAGUCGGUACAGUGGUGCACGCUCGGUAACAUUCCUUUCACUCCUUCCUUAUUGUUUAUAUUGCAUAUUAUAUAUAUUGAGCCUUGCACCCAUGUUAUUCCCGUAUUACUCUACUCGGUUGUUUCCAUGUUUAGUAUCAUGAGUAGGAGUAGAGUAGAUUUAUCUGCUCUUGAUAUCUGUGACCUGGUUGGUUGGUUCUCAUAUCUUAUAUAUGUGACUUGAUUGGUCGGUUUUCGUAUCUCGUAUUUGUGACCUAUUUGGUCGGCUUAUUGCAUGGUAUUGUGACCGAUUUGGUCGAUUGGACUACUUGAUAACCUAUACGGUCGGUGUGCCCUGAGGGGCAGGAUUGUCGGCUGGUUGCCGACGGUUGGCCAUUGAGCAUAUCAGCAUUGAUCGCCCGAUACUCGUACGCAUUUCACGAAUAUCAGCGGUCUGAUCCACCGCAAGAGGUAUUUUUUUUACGGAAAAGUGGUUGCAGGUGCCAACCCGUUAGCCCAAGAGGGGUUAGAUGCAACUAGAGUAGCAGUUGCACAGGCUUGAGGUUUGCGGUGUGGACCAACAGAGCAUUGGUUUCAAAUUGGGUAUUUUGGACUGGUCGUCCGGUUGAUGCAUGCAUUGUAACACACUGGACCUUCGCAACUUGCGAGAUUCGAGUGUUUGAUUUGUGUUCCGAGUUUUUUCAGGUAUUCUGGAGGGUCGUUGACAGUACUCCGACCUAUGGCUCGUAUCCCGAGAAUUGAGGUAUUUAAAGCAGCGCUAAGGUCACCAAAGUGGAGGACUUAGGCUGCUCUCGGGUUGCUUUCUGCUGGAUUGUGUACCAUUGCACCUUGAUGGUUGUACCGGUAUAGAAAGUGUACCGAUGACACCUUGAUGGUUGUACCGUUACACAUGCUGUUAAUGGCCAACCCGAGGCUCGGGUUCGCGCAUUCGGGGGAGUUGUACCGGUACACUUUUCCGUGUACCAGUACACUUUGGCAGAUUACGAAAUGACAAUUUUUCAGGGGUGUAAAUGCAAUGUGGCUUCUCUACUUAAACCCCACGCCCCUUAGAGCUUCCCUUGAGCAGAGAACUGUGGAGAUCAAGGUAGGGCUUCCUCCCACUUCUCCCUUUUGGCCUAUUCUUUCCUUUUUGCUUGGAAUUUAGGGUUGUAACCCUCUCUUUUUGCUUUUUGGACAUUUUCCUCCAGGGUAGGAGCUUGGAGCUUGGGUUUGGGAGCUUGUUGGAGAGUGGAUUCUCAACCUAGUUGGUGUUGAGCCUUGAUUGAACUUCUAAGAGGUUGGUAACAAGUUUCUUCCUCUAGAUUCUAGUUUUGAUGCUUUAAACUAGAUGAAACCCUAGAAAUGAAAACUUAGGGUUUAAUUGGGCAUUUUGGAUUUAGGGCUUUUGGAGCUUUAUUUCUUGGAUUAGAACCUUUCUCUAGGUUGGAUUGGAAGGGUUCUAGCACCCUUUUGGAGAUCGAGAGAGACUAUCACCAUCUUAGGUGAGUUUUGCCCCUUUUCGUGAUUUUGUUAAAGAUCGACCUAUGUGUUGUUCGUAACGUUCGUGUAACUCUCCUUUUAUUACCUUUAGGGUGCUAGGAGAAUAGUGGACAACCCCUUUCGCACAAACGAAGGACUCCAAGGAGACUUGGUGGGUUUGACCUCACCAAAAUGAGAUAAAUUUCUCAAUGAUGGUUUUUUACUUGUUGUAAAAUGGAAAAUCAUAUAUAUUCAUGUUAGAUGCAAUAUUUGUGAAUUUAGACUGCUUAGAAUGCAUAUGUUAUAUACAAUAUAUAUUUGGACCCCUAUGUAGUAGAGGGUUUUCAUGUUGGGCUUAUGCAUGAAAUUAGCAUUCUAGAUGUGACUCGAGAUCAUGUUUCAUAUAGUGAAAAUGAUAAGUGUAAGAUACUAUUGGAUAUAUUCCUCAUGUUGAACAUAUGAGCAAAUAAUGCCAUAAAGAGGCGUUAGACUAGAAUGAUAUGUGAAUUAGUGAGCUAAUGUCAUAAAGCGACAUUGAGCUUGGGUUAUGUGUGAACCUAGUAAUUAAUGCCACGAAGAGGCAUGGAAUUUGGAAUAAGCUUGGGUAUAGCAACGUGCUAGUGUCAUAAAGAGGCACUAAACUUAGUGAACAUUGGAACUUCACAUUGAGACAAAGAACUAGACCGUUGGGUUGCUAGUGGUUAUUACCAUGUUAGAGACAUGAUGAGUGGGUACUUGAGACGAUGACUACGCUUGCUUGCCAUUUGUGCUCAUUCGCACAUACUUGUGAGGGUCGCUCCCUACAAGUCGGCACUCCGGAGUUAGCCUAUACGACUUAUGAUCGCUCGUGCGGUACUGAAAAGCCUACGGGGGCCUCGAGUGGGAAUGUUGGAGCUACCACGGGUACUUAGACGGCACAAGCCGGACUACCUUGUGUAGGUUCUUAAUUAGAAAUGAAAAUAGACACGGAGUCAUAUAAGUAAUAAUCACUACUAGACAGUUCAUAAUAGUUGGAUUUAUCGGGCAUUUGGACAUAUAGUGUAUUUGAUAGUAUUGCAUUAUAGCAUACUUGUUUGCCAUGUUGGAGCAUACUAGUCAUGUAUUGACAUUUCGAACUAUGAUAGAAUAGAUGUACACUAUGUUGACAUCAUAUAUAUUUAUGGCAUUGUAGAUUAGCAUUUCAUUACAUGCUUUACAUAUCGCAGCUUACUAAUAGUUCUUUUAUCUACUUAUGCUUUUGGGCCUAGUAGUGCAUUUUUCUCAGGUCAGUAAUUGGCCACUGGGAACUAUAAAUUGUAGUUCUCACGCCCCUGUUUUAUAUUUUCUUUCAGAGCCUUCCACUCCAGGAGAGGCUAGGGACCGCGGCAAGGGUGUCGCUUUGAGCUAGCGAGCGAGGGGUCUUGCUAGGUGGAUCAUUUUCUCCUUUUUGUUUUAGAUGGAGAGAAUGAGAGCGUUUGUACCCUACAUAGAGACUACUAUUUUGGAUAUUGUAGUACUUACUUUUGAGACAGUUUGAUGUAUUCACUCUAUGUUUUAUCUCAGUUGAUAAUUUUACUGCUUCUACUUAUUGAUAGAUGUUAGCUGUACACAUGCUCUGAUAUCUCUAAAUAUUUAUUAUCUUUUCUUUAUUCAUCGCUAUUAUUGUAGACGCCUUAUAUGUGCAGACAUAUGGCGGGUCUGGGCACGCACCGGACGGGCCUAUGCCGGGUCCCGGGGCGUGACAUGCAUACAGUAGCUGUAUUGUUUCAUAUAUACAUCUCGUUUUACUUGUUUAUCAUGGCUACUGUGUUACCACUAUCUAUACCUUUGUUUGUUCUCCGUGACUGGUAGUACCCCUCGUCCUCGUCAGCUUGCGGUACCCAUUGGGAGGGGAGACAUAUGUACAUGUUCUCACCCCCCAACCCCAUUACAGGUGACAUCGCUGGUCCUAAUGGGACGGUUCGUGAGGAGCACUCUUAGUGGUUCGUUAGAGCUUUCGGACCCGUCCAUUGGUUUAAACUCUAAACUCUUGCUUUCUUCAAUAAUUGAAUUAGACAGUUAUAUGGUUCAGCAUUUUAUUAUAUUUGAAUCUGGGAUUUCAUGCAUGUAAUAAAGGAUUUAUGAGUUUUCGUGAAAUGAAAAUGGUUUUCUACCUUUCAUGGUAGCGAGUUUUAAAAGGAAAAGGUUUCCGUGUGGUAAACAGUUUUUAAAAGGUUUUCUCGUAGUUUUUCGUGACUUAGUAUUUCAAAACCAGUUUCCGGGUAGGAAACAUUUUUAAACAAAUAGUUGUGGAUUUAUGGUUAAAACUCUGAAUGUGAAUCUGAAUGUGAAUGGUGUAUGAAUGUAUGAAUGUUUGUAUGUUCAGUUGUGGUGGUUAUAUUCUGUUUAUGUAUCUUGUACUUGUGCGACACCGUGCAAAUACAGGGGAGACUCUAUCCAUGUGAAUAGUAGACUCCCUAUAUUUGUGACAGAUCUGGCAUACCCUGGGGGUCAAGUUUUCAAAAAAAAAAAAAAAAUUGGGCACUUCCGCUUCACUUUUAAAUCAAAAGGGACCCCGGGGCGUGACAGAUUAAAGUGGUAUCAAAGACAAGUUACAACCACAGCAUCAUUCACAGGUUGUUUUGAAAAAUAAAUGAAGCUGAACCCAGAGGAUGAAAUGACGUGCUAAAGUCGAGCCAUGAGCCCAGAGCAUCUUGCAAGCUCUUGCAAAAAUAAGAUGUGAACCUGGGGUCUCGAUCUGAUACUAUAGACGUCGGAACCCCAUGCAGUCUCACAACCUCAUCAAGAUACACUUGUGCUAACUUAUCUCCAGACCAAGUGGUAUGGAUCGGCAAGAAGUGAGCCGAUUUCGGCAAACGAUCCACCACCACCCAAACGGCAUCACGUCCGGCUUGAGAUCGGGGCAAACCGGUCACAAAGUCCAUCGCUAUAUCAUCCUACUUCCACACGGGUAUGGAUAAACUUUGAAGCUUUUUUGCUGAAAAUUGGCACUCCGCUUUCACUUGUUAGCAUGUCAAACAUUGCGCCACGAACUCUCCAUAUCCUUCUUCAUGCUCUGCCACCAAUAAUGCCCUUUUAGAUCAUUUUACAUUUUAGUGCCGCCUGGAUGCACGCUAUAAGGAGAUUGAUGCGCUUUUAGUAAUAUCGCCUUUCGAAUAUCCUCAUCCUUGAGCACACACCAACGGUUUCGAAACCGAAGUGCGCCAUCGGACCCUAUGCCGAAAUCACCGGCGCACCCGCUCUCAACCUCACCUCGCACCUUUUGGAGAUAAGGAUCUGAAGCUUGUUGCUCUUUAAUUCUCUCCAACAAGGUCCGUUGAACCACCAAUGCGACAAGAAUAGCCGGCACCUCCGGAGCUACUACUUCCUGUAGCACACUGGACCUUUACAAAUUGCGCGGUUCGAGUGUUUGAUGUGUACUCCGAACUUUUCUACACGUGGUGGAAGGCCGUAGAUGGUAUUCCGACCUAAAAUUUCGAUCUCUAGAGUUUUGACUUAGUCCUGAGAGUUUUCACUCUCGGGGACCGGUCCCUGAGAUGAGAGACCGGUCCCCUAAGAGCAGUGCUGCGGCAGGACUUGAGGCAACCGGUCCCUGGCUGGGAGAGACCGGUUCCUGAGCGCGUGUUUUGCGAGAGGGGUCCGAGAGACCGGUCCCUGGCGGGGAGAGACCGGUUCCCGAACGUGGGAUUUUCGGGGUAGGCUGAGAGACCGGUCCCAAGUCGGGGAGACCGGUCCCUCUGGGCGAAAAUUGCCCAGACCGGACAGUGCACAGAGUGUAUUUUUGAGGGGCUUAUCAGGAUUUUGUUACUUUAGAGGCUAUAGAGAGCCUUCCUCCUCUCUCUUUUCCUCAUUUCUCUCAACCCUUUUGCACUCUAGAGAGAGAAGAAGAAGGAGAGGAAGGAGAAGAAGAAGAAGAGGAGAAGGGGAUCAAGCUUAGAGGCCUUGAAGCAUCAGCCCUUCUCUCUUUCUCGCCCUUUGGAGGUUUGGAGCUUGCUAUUGGAGCUUGGUGGUGGACCAAUCAUCAACCUAAGAGGAUUUUGGACUUGGUUUGGAGCUUUCUAGAGGUAUGUGACUAGUUCUUCUCCUCUAGAUGCUAAUUUUGGAGCUUUUUGCUUGAAGAAACCCUAGAUUAGGAUUCUAGGGUUAGAUUUGGGGCUUUUUGGAUUUGAGGGCUUUGAAUCCUAAUUGAUGGGUUUGGAACCUUUAUUUAGGUUGGAUUUGAAGAACUCUAACUCCCAUUUGGAGCUUGAGAGGGGAUUUCUUCACCUAGGUGAGUUUUCUCCACCUUAGCCUAUGUUGCUUAGUGUUUGAGUUUAGGGUUGAUCGUAAGAUUUGUUUGACCCUUGUUCCUAUAUCUUUAGGAUGCUAGGAGACUAGUCAACACCUUCAUCGGGGCUUAUGAAGGGUUUUGGCAUCAUCGGUGGGUUUGGCUUCAUGAACACGGGGCAAAAUGGCCCCUAUGUUUUCUAUACUUGUCGUAAAGUAUUUUUGAAUGCAAAUCCAUGCUAAAUAUGAAUUAUGUGAAUUUUAGAACACUUGAAAUGCAUGCCUUAUGUAUUCAUGAAAUUGCACUCUAUAUAGUAGAGCUAUAUGUGUAGACUGCAUGCAUUGUGAAAGGUGGAUAGCUUUGAAAGUUGAGAACAUGUCUCCUAUGUUUGAAAUGAGUAGAAUUAUGUAUUCAUGAACAUAGAUACCAUGCUUGGACUUAUUGAACAAUAGUGUCAUAAAGGGGCACCUGAAACUAGUAAACUAUGAAAAUGCAACGUAAAGACAUAGUGAUAGGCCAUUGGAUAUCGACUAUAUUCCAUGUUAGAGACAUGACGACAUAGUGAUAGGCCUUUGUGACAUUCGAUGUAUAUUCCAUAUUUUAGACAUGAGGACAUGGUACUUGAGAUAGACUUAUACGCAUGCUUGCCAUUGUGCUCAUUCGCACAUGCUUGUGAGGGUUACUCCCUACAAGCCGGCACUCCGGAGUUGGCCAUCGCGAUACGUUUGCCGUGCGGGAUUGGGCGCCGAAGUGGAUUGCUGUGGGAAAGGCUCAUUCCUAGGGUGGGGAUGUUGACUACCACGGGGCCAUUAGGCACGGUAAAGCCAGACAGCCUUCGGGUGAGUCUUAUGCCAGACAGCCUUCAGGUGGGUCUUAUCAAAGUUGAACUGUAAACAAUUAAAGUGACAAGUGGACAUUGACUAGAAUAGUAAACAAUGACAACUUUACUAUUUACAUUGUGGACAUUGGAUUAGUUGCAUACUAAUGCAUUUGCAUGUUGGAUACUCUUGUGCACAUACUUGUAGUAACUGCCUUCUUACUUAUGCUAAUCAUGCUAAGUAGAGAUAUCAUGGUUGAAUAGUAUUCAUAUUUAUUUUCUAGUUGUUCUUAUCGCUUUGGCUUAUACUUGUACACUGACCCACUUUUGUAGUUCUGGGCCUAGUGGCGCAUUUCACUGAAGUCAGUAAUUGCCCACUGAGAACUAUUAUUUAAUAGUUCUCACGUCCCUAUUUCUAUGUUUUCUUUUCAGAGUCUUCGGCACCGGCGGAGGCACGGGAUCGCGACAAGGGUGUCGCGUAGCUAGCUCGGAGAGAGUUCGUUUUGCUAGGUGGUUACUCCUUCUUUGUUUGUGAUAGAGAGGGAGAGAUUUUGCACCAUAUAUAGAGAGACCACCUUAUAUUCAGACUAGUACUUGCUAUGGGACUCCUUUCGUAUUAUCUUACGUUUUACUUAGUGGAUUAUCAGUUCUAUGAUCUUCUCUUUGUUGUAGCACUUCGUAGUAUUUUGCUCUGAUAUACUUAAAUGCUUCCUUUUUAUUGCUUUAUUUACCGCUUUAUUUUAGACGCCUUGUAUGUGUUAGAUGUACGGCGGGUCUGGACACGCGCCGGGCGGGCUUCCGCUGGGUCCCGGGGCGUGACAGAUUAGUUUGGUAUCAGAGCCUAGGGUUGAGUCUCAGUGGACCUAGCAAACCUUAGGCCGGUUGGACUAUAAGAAAUAGGCUCAUGAGAAACAAGGUCUAUUUGACAUCUAAACGAAAGUAUCUCGAUUGGGUAUUUUGGCUAACUCUAGAAAGUAGAGUUAAAUCGAAGUGUACAGCUCCUAACUUCGCGGAGGGUUACGUUAGCGGCCGCCAACGUAAUAUCGGGAGUUAGUAGUGAAGCACACCUCCUUACUUUCGCCUGAUUUGGGUAUUAUCUUUGAGCGGGGAUGCGAUAGCGUAGGUUUGCUAACUUACUCUUUUAUGAUGUUGUAGUGCGAUGCCGAUCACACGCUCCCAAUCUGCUGGAGCGGAUAACGCGGCAAAUCUGGAGGAGGUCGAGACCUCCGCUACCUCCGGAUCCAGCGAGGUCCGUGAGCAGAGGAGCCAGCUGGAGACUCUCACUGACUUGGUGACGCAGCAGGCAGAGGAGGCCCGACAGCAGACUGAUGCGGCGCGCCGACAGGAGGCGCGGAUGAAGCGCCUGGAGGACCUUCUUCUACAGCAGGCGGCAGCUUCCAGGGAGACCCAGGCCCCUACACCGCCAGCACCAGUUGUAGAUAUUGCACCGAGAGCACCGUCCCCUGCGCCCAGUUCGUCGCUUGCGGCGCCCGUGGCCGCGCCUUAGGAGGAGGCUUUGGCGGCGCCACAUGUUCAGGCACCCCCGAUUGGAGCUAUUUUUCCCUUGUUGGUUGAGGGGGCAGAGCGGGACCGACUAAUGGAACGCCUUAAUGAGUUCAGGAGGUGCAGCUCUAGGAUUUUCGAUAGCGAGAAGGUCGACCACUGGAUUGUGGAAAAGUGGUUGAUGCACAUGGAGAAGCUCUUCCGCGACACCUUCGUGGAGGAGAGGGAUCGAGUUUGGCUCGCCACACACCAUCUGGACGGCGAGGCCUACCGCUGGUGGUUGGAUCUCCAGGAGAACCCCAGCACUGAUUUGGCUGCUAUCACGUGGACGAGGUUCAAGGAGCUUCUAUUGGCUCACUACUUCCCGACCAGCGUCAAGCGGAAGAUGGAGCAAGAUCUGCGCAACUUGCGCCAAGGUGAUCGGACUGUGGCCGAGUAGGAGCGGGAGUUUUCUCUACUUCUUCACUACGUGCCUUUCGUCGUGCGGGACGACGAGGACAAGGCCCGCAUCUUCAAGCGAGGGUUGCGACCAUCGAUCUUUCGGUUUGUGCAAUCCUCUAACCUCCAAACCUACCGGGAGGUGGUGGACCGCGCGCUCAUAGUAGAGAGCGGCGCAGCAGAGGUCCAGAAGCGACGAGAGGCCAUGGACAAAGGCAAGGCCAAGAGGCCUGCGGCUCAGUGUGCGAGCCAGACGCACUCUAGGAGGCAGCCGAAGCAUCCUAGGAGCCAGCAGCGUGGACGCGGCUCAGCAGCGCAGCGAAGAGGAUCUGACCGACGUCGGCCCUCCUUGCGUGUGAUCUGUGGUGGUCCUCAUCACCCACCGCAGUGUCCACAGCGGGCGGGCAGGUGCUUCCAGUGUGGCCAGGAGGGCCACGUGCGGGCUGAGUGCCUGAGAGGUUCUUCACCGGCACCGUCCACUGCAUCGGCACCGUGCGGGCUGAGUGCCCGAGAGGUCUUAUGCCAGACAGCCUUCGGGCGGGUCUUAUCAAAGUUGAACUAUAAACAAUUAAAGUGACAAGUGGACAUUGACUAGAAUAGUAAACAAUGACAUCUUUACUAUUUACAUUGUGGACAUUGGAUUAGUUGCAUACUAAUGCAUUUGCAUGUUGGAUACUCUUGUGCACAUACUUGUAGUAACCGCCUUCUUAGUUAUGCAAAUCAUGCUAAGUAAAGAUAUCAUGGUUGAAUAGUAUUCAUAUUUAUUUCCUAGUUGUUCUUAUCGCUUUGGCUUAUACUUGUACACUGACCCACUUUUGUAGUUCUGGGCCUAGUGGCGCAUUUCACUGAAGUCAGUAAUUGCCCACUGAGAACUAUUAUUUAAUAGUUCUCACGCCCCUGUUUCUGUGUUUUCUUUUCAGAGUCUUCGGCACCGGCGGAGGCACGGGAUCGGAGCAAGGGUGUCGCGUAGCUAGCUCGGAGACAGUCCGUUUUGCUAGGUGGUUACUCCUUCUUUGUUUGUGAUAGAGAGGGAGAGAUUUUGCACCAUGUAUAGAGAGACCAUCUUGUAUUCAGACUAGUACUUGCUAUGGAACUCCUUUCGUAUUAUCUUACGUUUUAUUUAGUGGAUUAUCAGUUCUAUGAUCUUCUCUUUGUUGUAGCACUUCGUAGUAUUUUGCUCUGAUACACUUAGAUGCUUCCUUUUUAUUGCUUUAUUUACCGCUUUAUUUUAGACGCCUUGUAUGUGUUAGACGUACGGCGGGUUUGGACACACGCUAGGUCCCGGGGCGUGACACUUCCAAACCAAACCAUUGCAUCUCCAUUUGCAAUGACGGUUGGUGUGUGAUUGCGGUAGCUAGAUUCUCCACCGACUUUCUACUCAGUGUAUCGGCCACUACAUUGGCUUUUUUCGGGUGGUAAAGAAUAGUGACAUCAUAGUCCUUUAAUAAUUCCAACCACCGCCACUGCUGCAUAUUUAGCUCCUUCUGAGUGAACAAGUAUUUAAGCUUUUGUGAUCUGUAUAAAUAUCACAAUGCUCACCGUAUAGAUAAUGCCUCCAUAGCUUCAACGCGAACAUCACCGCGACUAGCUUAAGGUCAUGGAUAGGGUAAUUCUUCUCAUAACUCUUCAACUGGCAAGAAGCAUACGCAAUAACUCGCCCACCUUGCAUCAGAACACACCCAAGACCACUGUAUGAAGCAUCACUAUACACCACAAAACUCUCUCCCGGAAUCGGUAAAGCAAGUACCGAGGUAAAAGUGAACCUCUCCUUUAAUUCCUUGAAGCUUCGAUCACAAUCAUCGCUCCACACACACUUUGCUCCCUUGUGCGUGAGGCGCGUCAGUGGAGAAGUUAUCUUAGCAAACCCCUCCACGAAUCGUUGAUAAUAACCCGCAAGGCCAAGAAAGCUGCCGAUUUUCGCGACACUCGUCGAACGAGGCCAAUCUUUAAUCACCUCAACUUUCUUUGGAUCAACCGAGACACCCCUCCCGAAAAUGAUGUGGCCUAAGAAGGCGAUCUCACGUAGCCAAAAGUCGCACUUCUUCAGCUUGGCAUAAAGCUUCUCUUUUCGGAGUAUUUGCAACAUGGUUCUCAAAUGUUCCUUAUGCUCUUGAUCACUCCGAGAAUAGACCAAUGCGUCGUUAAUGAAUACCACGACGCAUCAAUCCAACAACGGCCGGAAGACACGAUUCAUCAAGUUCAUAAAUGCUGCAGGGGUAUUGGUAAACCCGAAUGGUAUCACCGUGAACUCAUAAUGGCCAUAACGCGUAUGAAACGCCAUAUUAUGCACAUCCCCCGGCUUGAUCUUCAACUGGUGGUACCCCGACUGAAGAUCAAUCUUCGAAUAUACCCGAGACCCUUCCAACUGGUCGAACAGAUCAUCAAUCCUCGGCAACGGGUACUUAUUCUUAAUUGUCACCUUGUUCAGCUCGCGAUAAUCCACGCAAAGUCGAAGCGUUCCAUUCUUCUUUUUCACAAAUUGCACCGGAGCUCCCCAUGGCCACACACUCGGCUUCACAAAGCCCUUAUUGAGUAAGUCUUGCAAUUGAGCUUUUAACUCGCUUAACUCCGCCGGUGCCAUUCUAUAUAGAGCUUUCGAAAUUGGCGUCGUCCUGGGAAUCAAGUCAAUGACGAACUCGAUCUCCCGGUCCGGUAGCAAUCCCGGUAACUCCGCCGGAAACACAUCCGGAAACUCACAUGCUAUAAGAAUAUCCCCAAGCAUUGGGAGCUCCCUUUGAGUCUCCACCACUGUCGCCAAGUAGGCCGCACAUCCACUUUUAAUAAACUUCCUCGCUCUCGACGCCGACACCGUCGCCGCGAAGCGCGAGCUCUUACACGCACGAUAUACCACCUCCUCCUAGUUAGGCUCACGAAAAGUGAUCACCUUACUUUCACAAUCAAUAACAGCAUAAUAUUUUGAGAGCCAAUCAAUUCCAAGAAUUACAUCGAAGCCCCACAUCCGGGUCAGGACAAGCAAGUCCGCAGGCAUAAACCAAUCGCCAAUUUGCACUGGACAAGCCAUGCACUCCUCCUUGACACUAAAAGUAUGCUCUGGUGCGUAGACCCACCAAGCAUCCGGACUAUCCGAUACCUCAAUACCAUGAGCUCUAGCGAAUGAUGCGCCAAUAAAUGAAUGGGAUGCACUAGUAUCAAACAAUGCUCUAACUCUAGUGCCAUUAAUUAAAACAAUACCUGCCACAACAUCAUCGGGUACGACAGGCUCCUCCACCUGAGGAGCGAAAACCCGGCCACUUGGCGCCACCCGAGAUCCCUCUGGCUGACGCAACACUGAAGAGCGUCCAGCAGACAUAGCAGGUGGCAAUCCCGCGAGCUGCCUUGCGGUGUACUGAACUGAUGCAGCCGUCUGGGCAGACGAUGUCCAACUCGGGCACUCCCGACUAAUAUGUCCAGCUUGGCCACACUUAAAACAUCUUCCAUCACGUUGUGGGCAGACCGUCAGUCGAUGAUCACCGCCGCAAAUGACACAUCGGGCAGGUCUCCAAUUCUUCGAUUGCCGUCGUGGAUAAUGAGGAGGUCUCUUAGGACUCGACCGACCCCCGGUACCACUCGCAGUACGCUUCUUCCCUUUAUCCUUUUCCUUUUCCACAGACUCGCACUCCCCAUACGCAUAAGCACUGUCGUGCUCCGCCCACAACGCCCGAACCAAAAUCUCCGCAAAGGUCGUGAGCUUGAGGAUCUGGACCUUCUCAUAAAUCCUCGGCUGAAGUCCUCGCAAGAACCAAUCGGCCCCGAACUACAUCCGGGACACAGUCGAUAAUGUGGGAAAACUCCUGCUCAUAUUCUCCCACCGAGCGGUCUCUAUGUCUUAGCUUCCGAAAUUUAUCCUGAAGCUUCUUCUUCUCACUAUCGAGGAAGUAAUUUGUAAAUAUUAAUCCCCGGAACUCUUCCGAAACCAUAGGUGGAAGGUCGGAAGGUCGAUCCCACUUCACUCUUUUCCAACACACCUUCGACGACUUCUCUAAACAAUGUGUGGCAAGGUGCACUUUAUCUUUCUCCAAGGUAUAAAUAUCUUCGAAGAGCGUUUCCAUCGAGUCGAUCCAUGACUCCACUAUCCACGGCUCCACCUUUUCUCCAUCGAACACAGGCGGAUUGAACUUCUUGAACAUCACGAGAGCAGGGAGUGUAUACUCCCUCGCUGCCUCCAUAGCCGCACCUUUGGGAUUUGAGGUUCCCAAACCGGCUGCCACCGCCGCGACUAGUAUAGCCACCGCGGCCACACCCUCGAUUGCAUUCGGUAUCACGACAAGGAACGGAGGUUGCUCGGCGCCCACUUGAGUUGUCGCCGCCUGUUGUUGCACCAAAGCCUCCUGGAGCUGCUGGAUUUGUUCCCCCGACAUUGCACCGAUUACACUUGUUGCUGCACUAUUCCCACAAGUGCGGGCACUUACUCCCGAAGCUCCCCAUCGCCGCUCGCUCCGAAUUGCUCGGGAGCCGAACUUGGUUCCUCGGGCGUCGACCUUGUUCGAGGUCUACGACGAGGCAUUGCUUCCUGAAACAUAGCAACUACAUUAGUUACUUGACCCAUAACGCUAACACGUCAUUACAACAUACCCAACAAAACCAAAUCAGGUGAAAGCAUUCAAGUGAAUCCAUUCUCAUUCCUAGGCAUCAUGUUGUCGGCCGCCCAACAUAACCCUUAGAGUAGAGAACAAAUAUCAACUUGGAUUAAUCCCUAAUCACCAUUAGAGACGUACUAACACUAACCCAAUCCAUAUGGCUUUCGCUAUAAAUCGAUUCCACUCGCUCACUUCCCUAGAUCCUUUAAAGUUUCCAUCCUAACUUUCACUUUUCUGGGCUCUGAUACCAUUAUAUCUGUCACGCCUUGGGACAGUCGGUUUGGUCGGGUUCGAGCACAUCAACAGACGCCGUACGGACAGCACCUCCCCUGUCCGCCCAACACAAUAUCAACAUGUAUAUAAUUUUGUGCAAGCGAAAACAUAAAUAUACAUGACUUGCUCGAAGGCAAGCAACAACCAAAGUGAAAGUUCUAUACUAACAUCACAUUCAUACAAGUAUCUUGAUUACUUUUAAUCAAAUACAAGCGUAUUACAACUACAUUCAUUCUUUUCUUUCAUUUAUACAUCACAUGCUCGUCAUUCUUCAAAAUAUAAGUCCUUUACAUCAUUUAUACACUUUUACAACUUUGUUCAUCAUAUACAAAAGAUGAUAAUAACAGUGUAUGAACUAUACUUGGGUAGUCGCUAUCUAGGGUGUGAUACCCUUACCGCGGUUCUCAAUCGCAUCGCUUGGCCCCGGCUCUGUAAAAAUAGUGGGAUGAGAACUACAAGAAAGUUUUCAGUGGGUUCGGCUACCGACCCCGCCGACUUUCCCACUAGGUCUAAACAGGCAUAAAUAGAAGAAACAGAUAGAUAGAUAGCCAUGCUAAACAAAUGCAGCUAUUAUGCCCGAACAAGAUACUAUCAAUAUAUGAUGCUCAUGAUACAUGCUGAUUGCCAUUCUCAAUACCCAAUCCUCUCGGCUAACCCGUAGGUUUCGCCCCAAAACUCACUAACUCAAAUCCCUACUAUCGGGAAGAUACUCGCUGUAACCCGAUGGGACCUUCCUCUGGGGAAACUACAACCCAGUGAUGACUACUUUGGAGCUCAUCGCUCGAGGGGGAGCGACCGCCCUCAAGCCAAGACUUACAUGUGAGUAUAAUCCAAUCCACAACUAUGAGGAUGUCAUGUUCACAAAUGCCGCAACACAGAAAGUGUUCCAUUCUCUCGCAUUCAAUGCCACAAAGUGCUAUAUCAAUCACUUGUCAUAAUGUCACCAUGUUCCUCUACUCGGCUAAGUCAUGUCACAAUUCAUACACCUAUAGGGUUCACAAUUGUAGUUCACAAUUGUUCAAUAUCUCAUUCUCAACUCAUAUGGAUCUUUAUACUAAAAGCAUGCAAGGGAUAUACACAUACACAUACAUUCUCAUUAACCUUACAAUGCAUGAAUCCUAAUAUACACAUAUAUGCUCAAAUGGUGACUUAAGACAUAAAGAGAAAUCCGAUGAUUUCGGAAAGCACCACCCACCUCGUAGGGUCACUAAGAUGCUAGAAUCCAAGUUCCACAAUUUUUACUCGCAGCUUUCACUCGACCCUCGGCAAACGAAGCCGAAAUGGGGUUUUCCUUCAAUAUCUUGGCGUAGACUUAAUGGAAUCCCGAUCCGAGGUUCCCAAUGGAUCGGUUUUUGCUCCAAUUAGGGCUACAAGAGAUCAAACCCUAGUUAGAUCUCAUACUUAGCAAAACCCCAAUUUGACCCCUAGGGUUUCCAAUAACUCAACAUAUCCACAAACUCAUGGAUAAACAUGAGGUAAUCUACCACAAUAGCUUCUAGAUACAACUAGAAGAAUUAACUCAAAACCCUAGCUUACAACUAUAAGGACUCACCUUGAGUUCAAGCCCUCUCCAAAACCUUUGCACAAAAGCUAGCUUCACCACCAAGCAAGCCUUCUUCUCCACCAAACCCUUCUCUUGGAUCAAACUCUAGUGAGAGAGGGAGAGAAAGGGAGAGAGAGAGUGUGUCUUAGAGAGAGAGAGAGCUCCUACUCCUGUGUUCUCAUAAGGGGGAAUGAGCUUUUAGGGCACAAAACCCAUAUAAGAGGUCUCCUCCACAAUAAUUACAACUAGGCCCCUCUCUAAUAACAAAAUUGGACCAACCCACGCAUUUGCGUGUUCGGGGUCCGGACCUUGCACUCAGGGUCCAGACCCCGAGAGCAUUUCCAGCACGAAUUAAGCUGAAAAUUUUUCAGCUUGCUCUCCAAGGUCCCUACACUCAUGAUAUACACUCCGGAACACUCGGAAUGAUUAACGAACCACUCUAACCUGUCCCACUCCGCACUUCGAUCAAUUUAACUGAAGUUCGAUACAACCUACCGAAGUUUUGGUAUAUUACAUCCACAUAAGUCCUCUCACAACUUACUAACUGUUAAUAAGUCCUCUCUAGCAAUAUUUGCACUUUAAUACCACUAAUUUGUAAUAAUUACAUAUUAGUCCAAUUAUCAACAUAUUGACAAUUAGGUCCUCUCGCGAUUCAAAAUUCACGAUCCAGCUAUUUGAUCGUCGUAACCUCUUAUGUGUGUGACCCCAUAAGUUCUAUUCUAUCUGGUAGUGAGAUAUUUUCUGAUCACUAUCAACAAUAUCACUGAAACUCCUUUCAGCGGAUUGAAAUAAUUUCAUAUUUGCCCAAUGAGAAUUAUCGAUUAUCUAGAUAAUUCUCAUGAGUCUCACAAUCCACCAGUGACGCCUAGCAGCUUGUAGUGGCAUUCCAAUAGAAUGGAAUACUAAAUCUCUUGGUAUAGUUACCAUGUGAUACAUUCCUUCUAUCAUGAGUCCCGACUAGACGGAGGUCAUGGAAUAGCUCAUCAAACCCCAUCAUCUGUCAUAUGUCAAAUUUAUUCGACUCGGGUAUAAACUAAGUCUCAUAAAUCACAUAGAACUAAUGCUCCUAUCUACCAAGGGGGAUAAAUUUCAUAUAGGUGCACACCCUACUCCUACGAAGAACCUAUUGCAGCCAACAUGCACCACAAGAACCCGAAUUGCUAGGGACUAAGUGUAUGUACAGUCAAAUUACAGUAAUCUUAUUGUGAAUAGCUAAGGCACUGCAAAUCAAAAGACCAGUCACACUACUGCAACUGUCACGCCCCGACCUGCAACGAAAGCCCGCCGUGUGCGUGCACAGACCCGCCGUACACACUAACCACAAUGUGCACAAGGCGUCUACACAGUCAAAAAAAGUAAUAGAAAAAUCCAUCCUAAACAUGGUAAUCAGAGCGAGAAUGUACAACAGCUAGAUAUAAAAUUUUGGAACUAAGACCUCAAGAUUACAACAAUUCUAAUCAAGGGUACAAAAUGAAUAUACAAGGUCUCGCAUAAAGCACAAUAGAAUCCACUAAACUAAACCAAAUAAAUAAACUUAUAGGUUCAUCUAUUGCAACAUCGUGAGACUGUAGCUAUUCGUUGCCUUCCUUGCCACGAUCCCUAGCCUUUUCCGCUGCGGAAGGCUCUGAAACAAAAACAACGAACCAAUGGGGGUGAGAACUAUUAAACAAUAGUUCCCAGUGGGUAAGCCGUCGAGAGUGGCGAAAUACACCACUAGGUCAACUGAGGCAUAGAUAUGAUAUAGGAAGUAUUAAGAGUAAAUGUAACACACUAGACUUUUGCAAAUUGCGAGGUUCGAGUGUUUGGAUGUAUUUCGAGCUUUUCCACACUUGGUGGAGGGUUGUAGAAUGUAUUCCGAUCUAAAAAGUUCGAAAACUGGAAUUCUGGACAAGUCCUGAGAGUUUUACUCUCGGGGACCGGUCCCUGGAAGGAGAGACCGGUCCCCCCCAGUGAGCAGUGUUGAGGCAGCCUGAGGCAACCGGUCCCUGGCAGGCGAGACCGGUUCCCGAACGCGUCUUCGCAGUGAGAGACCGGUCCCGCGCAGGGAGAGACCGGUUCCCGAACGCUGGUUUUUCGGGUUCGCAGCGAGAGACCGGUCCCUGCUGGGGAGAGACCGGUCCCUCUGGGCGAAAACUGCCCAGACCGGGCUGAUGCAAUAUUGGAUUUUUGGAGGGCCUAGCUGGAUUUUGUUACAUUAGAUGGGCUUAUUAGCCAUUUUCUCCUCUUCCCUCUCUCAUUUCCUCAUUCUCACCCCUCUCCCUACACUUUCUAGAGAGAGAAGAAGAAGAAGGAGGAGGAGAAGAAGAGGAGCUAGCUUGAGAGAGCUUGGAGCUCAACCCCUUUCUCUCUUUUCCACCUUUGCAAGGCUUGGAGCUUGCUUGUAGGGCUUGGUGGUGGGCCAAUCUUCAACCCUAGAAGAUUUGGAGCUUGUUUUGAGGCAUCUAGAGAGGUUAGUACUUUAAUUCUACCCUUUGAUUCUUAUUUUGGUAGAUUUUGCCAUUUGAAACCCUAGUUUUGGAACUUAGGGUUUAUUUUGGGCUUUUUGAACCUAGGGCUUUUGAGGCUUGAUUAGCUGGUUUAGAACCUUCCUUGGGCUUGGAUUGGAAGGGUUCUAGAUCUCUUUUGGAGCUUUGGAAGAGAUUUCUACUCUUGAGGUAAGUUUUGGCCCUUUUUGCUUCUAGGUUAAUGUUUGAUAGUGUAAGAUGGUCGUAAUGCCCUCGUAUCUCUUCGUUGAUCACUUCUAGGGCAUUUUGAGGCUCGUGGACAACUCCGUUCGGCGAAUCGAAAGAGCACGCGACGGUUCGGUGGGUUUGACCUAGCCUAUGAUAUGGGAAAUGCUCAUAUUUGGCAAAUAUGUUUCGUAAAAUAGAAAUUCAUGCAUUUCCAUGUUAAAUGUAUUUAAUAUGAAUUUUAGAAUGCUUAACAUGCAUAUAUUAUGUAUAGUGAAAUUUUAGACCCCUAUGUGGUAGAGUGCAUGUAUGUGAGACUUAGCAUUCUAGUUAUGAUUGGGAACCAUGAUCCCUAUUAUGAAAACGGAUCUUGCUCUCUUGCAUUUAACCUAUAUGCCAAUUGGGACAUUAGGAAUUUUAGAAGCCUAGAGAGGGCUUGAGAACUUGGACUAUUUGGGAAUUGGGCAAAUGUCAUAAAGAGGCAUUGGGCCCGGGCUAUAGUAGUCAUUAGUAUUAAUGUUUAAAUGAAACAUAGAACAAGAAUCGAGUCUUGUAUCAAGUGUGAUGCUUAGGUCAUAAGAGCACAAGCAAGUGAGUGUGACGUCAUCUUGAAGACUUGGACUAGAUCCUUGGGAUGCCUAGUGGCCUUGCCAUUGUGAGAGAUGCACUGAAGAGUAGAAGUACUUGAGACUUGACCUUACUUGCUUGCCAUUUGUGUCAUUCGCACAUCCUUGUGAGGUUCCUCCCUACAAGCGGCACUCGCGAUUAGCUAUGCGACCUACUGUGCGCUCGUCCGCGGUAUUGAGAGAGCCUUACGGGGUCGAGUGGACCAGACACAUUCCAAGAGUAGGCAAUGUCGGGCUACCACAGCACUUAGGCGGCACACAGCUGACUACCUUUUAGGUCCUUAAUUGGAAAUGGAAAUCGAGCACGGUGUUGCAGUUUUAUAUGAACACUACUAGUCAGAGAUAGUAGUGGAUUUACUGACUUACUUCUAGCCAAUAGUUGUGACAUUUGGGCGUACUCAUACAUACAUGUAGUAUGCUAGGAGAUUUGUUUAUUGAUCCUGAUAUGCAUUGUAGUCAUGACCAAGUAUUACUUAUAUAUUCGUUACAUUAAAGCCAUGAUAUUACUUUGGCAUAUAAUAUCCAUGACAAGAUUAAAGUCGCAUUAGAAAAUGCCAUGUAUAUAAUUGCGAAGUUGUAGUUAGCAUCCAUCAUUAUUAUGCUUUCUUAGUAUGCCAAUUUACUCAUUACUCUAUUGUUCAGACUUACCUUCUCUUGUGGGCCUAGUGGUGCACCCUGGAGUCCAUAAUUGCCACUGGAACUAUAAAUCUAGUUCUACGCCCAUCUUUUCUCGAUGUUUUUCAGGCCUUCCACUCGAGGGUGAGGCAGAGACGCCGGGAAGGGAGUUGCUUCGAGCUAGCUUCCUUCGAGGACGAUUUACUAGGUGGUCUACCUCUCGUUGUACUUUUUGGAGAGGUUGAGAGUUUUACCGGUGUACUAGAGACCACCAUUUUUGUAUUAGAGGCUGAUACUGUAUAACUUAUGUUUACUUCUAUGUUUUAGUCGUUCUAUUACUAUUAGUAUAGAUGUUAGAACUUUACUCGCUCUAAUAUCAUUAGUUGCUUGUUAUUUCACUUCUCUUCUUUGUUCCAUCUCUUGCUUUUACUUCCGCUUUUCUUGUAGACGCCUUAUAUGUGUAGACAUAUGGCGGGUCUGGGCACGCCACCGGGAGGGCCUCCGCCGGUCCCGGGGCGUGACAGU
rnacentral:lncRNA from 1 species